AUUGAACGCUGGCGGCAGGCCUAACACAUGCAAGUCGAGCGAGCGGCGGACGGGUGAGUAAUGUCUGGGAAACUGCCUGAUGGAGGGGGAUAACUACUGGAAACGGUAGCUAAUACCGCAUACCAUCAGAUGUGCCCAGGUGGGGUUAGCUAGUAGGUGGGGUAACGGCUCACCUAGGCGACGAUCCCUAGCUGGUCUGAGCGGAUGACCAGCCGCGCUGGAACUGGGACACGGUCCAGACUCCAACGGGAGACAGCAGUGGGGAAUAUUGCACAAUGGGCGCAAGCCUGAUGGGGCCAUGCCGCGUGUGUGAAGAAGGCCUUCGGGUUGUAAAGCACUUUCAGCGGGGAGGCGUUACCCGCAGAAGAAGCACCGGCUAACUCCGUGCCAGCAGCCGCGGUAAUAC
rnacentral:rRNA from 1 species